rnacentral:rRNA from 1 species
CGUCGUGGGCGCUAGGUGUGAGUCCCUUCCACGGGGUUCGUGCCGUAGCUAACGCAUUAAGCGCCCCGCCUGGGGAGUACGGCCGCAAGGCUAAAACUCAAAGGAAUUGACGGGGGCCCGCACAAGCGGCGGAGCAUGUGGAUUAAUUCGAUGCAACGCGAAGAACCUUACCUGGGCUUGACAUACACCAGAUCGGCGCAGAGAUGCGUUUUCCCUUGUGGUUGGUGUACAGGUGGUGCAUGGUUGUCGUCAGCUCGUGUCGUGAGAUGUUGGGUUAAGUCCCGCAACGAGCGCAACCCUUGUCUUAUGUUGCCAGCACGUGAUGGUGGGGACUCAUGAGAGACUGCCGGGGUUAACUCGGAGGAAGGUGGGGAUGACGUCAAAUCAUCAUGCCCCUUAUGUCCAGGGCUUCACACAUGCUACAAUGGUCGGUACAACGCGUGUGCGACACUGUGAGGUGAAGCUAAUCGCUCUAAAGCCGGUCGUAGUUCGGAUUGGGGUCUGCAACUCGACCCCAUGAAGUCGGAGUCGCUAGUAAUCGCAGAUCAGCAACGCUGCGGUGAAUACGUUCCCGGGCCUUGUACACACCGCCCGUCACGUCAUGAAAGUUGGUAACACCCGAAGCCAGUGGCCUAAACCUGUUAGGGAGCUGUCGAAGGUGGGAUCGGCGAUUGGGACGAAGUCUAAAGGGGGGGGGCCAAAAAA